rnacentral:rRNA from 1 species
CGAGAGUUUGAUCCUGGCUCAGGAUGAACGCUAGCGGCAGGCUUAACACAUGCAAGUCGAGGGGUAUAGUUCUUCGGAGCUAGAGACCGGCGCACGGGUGCGUAACGCGUAUGCAAUCUACCUUAUACAGGGAAUAGCCCAGAGAAAUUUGGAUUAAUACCUCAUAGUAUGUGAGAAUCGCAUGGUUUUCACAUUAAAGUUCCAACGGUAAAAGAUGAGCAUGCGUCCCAUUAGCUUGUUGGUAAGGUAACGGCUUACCAAGGCAACGAUGGGAUAGGGGUCCUGAGAGGGAGAUCCCCCGACACUGGUACUGAGACACGGGGCCAGACUCCGUACGGGAGGCAGCAGUAGGGAAUAUUGGGGCAAUGGACGCAAGUCUGACCCAGCCCAUGCCCGCGUGCAGGAUGAA